ensembl:lncRNA
AGAUGUCCCCAGACCUCAGUGACGUCCCCUCAGAUGACCCCCAACCCACGGUGGCGUCCCCUAAGAUGUCCCCAGACCUCAGUGACGUCCUCUCAGAUGGCCCCAAACCCACAGUGGCGUCCCUUAAGAUGUCCCCAGACCUCAGUGACGUCCCCUCAGAUGACCCCCAACCCACGGUGGCGUCCCCUAAGAUGUCCCCAGACCUCAGUGACGUCCUCUCAGAUGGCCCCAAACCCACAGUGGCGUCCCUUAAGAUGUCCCCAGACCUCAGUGACGUCCUCUCAGAUGGCCCCAAACCCACAGUGGCGUCCCUUAAGAUGUCCCCAGACCUCAGUGACGUCCUCUCAGAUGGCCCCAAACCCACAGUGGCGUCCCUUAAGAUGUCCCCAGACCUCAGUGACGUCCUCUCAGAUGGCCCCAAACCCACAGUGGCGUCCCUUAAGAUGUCCCCAGACCUCAGUGACGUCCCCUCAGAUGACCCCCAACCCACGGUGGCGUCCCCUAAGAUGUCCCCAGACCUCAGUGACGUCCUCUCAGAUGGCCCCAAACCCACAGUGGCGUCCCUUAAGAUGUCCCCAGACCUCAGUGACGUCCUCUCAGAUGGCCCCAAACCCACAGUGGCGUCCCUUAAGAUGUCCCCAGACCUCAGUGACGUCCUCUCAGAUGGCCCCAAACCCACAGUGGCGUCCCUUAAGAUGUCCCCAGACCUCAGUGACGUCCUCUCAGAUGGCCCCAAACCCACGGUGGUGUCCUCUCAGUUGUCCCCAGACCUCAGGCAUGUCCCCUCAGAUGGCUCCAAACCCACGGUGGCGUCCCCUAAGAUGUCCCCAGACCUCAGUGACGUCCCCUCAGAUGACCCCAAACCCACGGUGGCGUCCUCUCAGAUGUCCCCAGACCUCAGGGACGGCCCCUCAGAUGACCCCCAACCCAUGGUGAUGUCCCCAGCAGUGCCUCCAGACCUCAGGGAUGUCCCCAGCGGCGUCGCCAGGCCCUCAGUGACAUCCCCUAAGGUGUCCCUCGAACCCAGUGAUGUCCCCAGACCUCAGUGACGUCCCCUCAGAUGACCCCCAACCCACGGUGGCGUCCCCUAAGAUGUCCCCAGACCUCAGUGACGUCCUCUCAGAUGGCCCCAAACCCACAGUGGCGUCCCUUAAGAUGUCCCCAGACCUCAGUGACGUCCUCUCAGAUGGCCCCAAACCCACAGUGGCGUCCCUUAAGAUGUCCCCAGACCUCAGUGACGUCCUCUCAGAUGGCCCCAAACCCACAGUGGCGUCCCUUAAGAUGUCCCCAGACCUCAGUGACGUCCUCUCAGAUGGCCCCAAACCCACAGUGGCGUCCCUUAAGAUGUCCCCAGACCUCAGUGACGUCCCCUCAGAUGACCCCCAACCCACGGUGGCGUCCCCUAAGAUGUCCCCAGACCUCAGUGACGGCCCCUCAGAUGGCCCCAAACCCACGGUGAUGUCCCCCUACCUCAGUGACAUCCCCUGAGAUGGUCCAAACCCAUGGUGACGUCCCCUAAGAUGGCUCCAGACCCCAGUGCUGUUCCCUCAGGUGUCUCCAGACCCUGAUGAUGUCCCCUACUUCAUCCCUAGCCCCUCGGUGACAUCCCCUGAGGUGUCCCUCGACCCCAGUAACGUCCUCAGCAGCGUCCCCAGACUCGGUGACGUCCCGUACGGCGUCCCCGAACCCCCAGUGACCUCCCCUAAGACGUCCCCGGACCCUAGCGUUGUCCCCGCAGGCGCCCGCAGACCUCGCUGACGUCCCCGGCGGCGUCCCCGGCCUCCCGCAGCGUCCCCGCUCGGCGUCGCCGCUCCCCGGCCAUGGCGGAGGCGGGGGCCUCCAUCCAC